GGAGAUUGACCAGGACACGGCAGCAGCAGCAGCAGCAGCUACUGGGGCUUGGGUAACCUGCUUCUUCUCAGUACAGACAGGUCUCGUCGCGGCCCCAAAUGCUAGCAAGUAUACGGCUUUACUUGGGCCUAUGUUUGGGGGGUCCUUUCCCACAGCUGCUGCGGCCUACCACUUACUUAGUACUCACUCAGAUAUUGUGAAACUCUGUGGCUUUGGUGGAAUCACUCUGGGUGUCUUUGUGAUAUCGUCUGGUUUGGCUGCUGGUUUCCUAGACACACCUCCAAGAUCAGUUUGUUACACUCGAUAUGCUACCCUUGCAGCACUGGUCAUUGUGUUGAGCCUUUUCAGUUUUGCGCUAUAUACAAUCUUUCAUUCACUAGUGUACAAGAUUACAUGUGCAGUCGUAUGUGGACUGAUGAUCGCUGUUUUCGUGUUCCUGUGGUUGGUUUUGGGAUGUUAGCUGAUGUUCUCUUCUUGACAUGUCUCCAUUAUGCAAGCUUGCGGAGCUGAUUGUUGUGCGAGUGGUCAAUGUGGAGCUGAUUGUAUAUUCUUCCUGAUGGAUUUACAUACGAUGCUCAGAUCUUGGCUGGGCCAUUUUUUGGUAGUUUUAAUCGCACAUGUAUUGUGAUGUUGGAAGUCAGAGAUGUAUAUUCUUCCUGAUGACACGAUCCAUUUUACUCGUGUUGCUGAGGAUCUUGCUGUGCUGGGUCAUUCUUUUUUACAUUGGAGCUGUGUUUCAUUGUUCAUAACCCUCGACAUGGAACUUGCAAAUUUUGCACGUGAAUGAAAUA